rnacentral:rRNA from 1 species
AGAGUUUGAUCCUGGCUCAGGAUGAACGCUGGCGGCGUGCUUAACACAUGCAAGUCGAACGAAGCACUUUAUUUGAUUUCUUCGGAAUGAAGAUUUUGUGACUGAGUGGCGGACGGGUGAGUAACGCGUGGGUAACCUGCCUUGUACAGGGGGAUAACAGUUGGAAACGGCUGCUAAUACCGCAUAAGCGCACAGUACCGCAUGGUACGGUGUGAAAAACUCCGGUGGUGUGAGAUGGACCCGCGUCUGAUUAGCUAGUUGGCAGGGCAACGGCCUACCAAGGCGACGAUCAGUAGCCGACCUGAGAGGGUGACCGGCCACAUUGGGACUGAGACACGGCCCAAACUCCUACGGGAGGCAGCAGUGGGGAAUAUUGCACAAUGGGCGAAAGCCUGAUGCAGCGACGCCGCGUGAGCGAAGAAGUAUUUCGGUAUGUAAAGCUCUAUCAGCAGGGAAGAUAAUGACGGUACCUGACUAAGAAGCACCGGCUAAAUACGUGCCAGCAGCCGCGGUAAUACGUAUGGUGCAAGCGUUAUCCGGAUUUACUGGGUGUAAAGGGAGCGCAGGCGGUACGGCAAGUCUGAUGUGAAAGCCCGGGGCUCAACCCCGGUACUGCAUUGGAAACUGUCGUACUAGAGUGUCGGAGGGGUAAGCGGAAUUCCUAGUGUAGCGGUGAAAUGCGUAGAUAUUAGGAGGAACACCAGUGGCGAAGGCGGCUUACUGGACGAUAACUGACGCUGAGGCUCGAAAGCGUGGGGAGCAAACAGGAUUAGAUACCCUGGUAGUCCACGCCGUAAACGAUGAA